UACAGGGGGUGCAAACGUUGCUCGGAAUUAUUGGGCGUAAAGCGCGCGUAGGCGGCUACUUAAGUCGGAUGUGAAAGCCCCUGGCUCAACUGGGGAAGUGCACCCGAAACUGAGUGGCUUGAGUGCGAAAGAGGGUCGCGGAAUUCCCGGUGUAGAGGUGAAAUUCGUAGAUAUCGGGAGGAACACCGGUGGCGAAGGCGGCGACCUGGGUCGACACUGACGCUGAGGCGCGAAAGCGCGGGGAGCAAACAGG
rnacentral:rRNA from 1 species